AAUAAGGAAUGAGCUACACUAGCUCAGUAAAGACAUCACGAUAUCUCACCGUCACGGAGGUAAAGGUGGGUAGAAAACACAAAAAGACCAAUGGAGCAUAAUUUACAACAAAUCCUUUUAUUAAUAAUAAAACCUUUACCAUCCACUUACCUCGGUGGAAUUUAUAAAACAAUAUACGAAAGCAAUAACAUUAUCAUAAUCAUGGAAUCAUAUAAACUGUAAAACAUAACACUUAUCACGCCUUUUGUAAUUCAAUCAUUAUACAACAUAUCUUUUCCUCAUUUACCAGCCUACUAGUAUCCGUGGGGGUCCAUAGGGGUCCCGCUACCCGUUAACCUUUAACAUUCGUCAUCAGAUUCCAGGGCCGUCCCCAUACCCCGUCCGGUAUGGGCGCCAAAACCAUAAACCUCAAUACCCCGUUCGGUAUGAGGGUGAAACGGGCCGUCCCCAUACCCCAUCCGGUAUGGGCGCCAAAACCAUAAAC
rnacentral:lncRNA from 1 species